UAGGAGUCAAGAGCUGUUAAUCAAAAUUUUAUGUCUCUGACUACCACCCAUCUGCACAACUGACAUGCAGGCAGACUGCCUGGAUUUGCUUGGCAAGAUAAUAACUGACAUUUCUAUACUCCUUUGGCAAUUGGAGUAAUCUGCAGUGGUAAAUACUCAGCUUGAUUGGAACGCCAUUAGAAGCUGCUCAUCACUUACAUGCAAAAGUUAGCUUGCUCUCUCCUAAUAGAAGCUCCCUGCUGCUGAGACAUUUUGACUGGUAACGGGUCUGAGCCUUCACAUCCCACUGCCCUGCUGUGAUGCCUGUGCUGUUCUGCUGCAUUGCUGGAGAAAUCACAGUGCAAACUGUUGCCAUUCACAAUGGAGUGGAGGAAAGGUCCAGUUCAUUUAGAAACCUCUGACUAUACGAAGACCAUGCUAAUGAUGGAAUAAGAAACUAUGUUGCAGUGUAUAUGAACAGGGUGCUCCAGCAGUCUAGUAUAAGACUGUUGGUCAUCUUUAACUGUAUCUGUAUAGUUCUAUUGAUUGAUGAAGUCUGAAAUAUUAUUAAUUGUAGUUUCUAGGCACAGAAUCAUUUCACAAGAGAACUUGAGGGUCAGUGUAGGUGAGCAGUGAAUUUAAAUUGGCUAGUGCUUCAUUAAUUUUCAUUGUUGUACAUUUAUAAAUACUUAUUUUGAGAUGUAAAUGUGAAGAGGGAAAUCUAAUAUGUCAUGCAUAGGACUGACAUUUUUUAAAAAUGGAUUUUUAAUUUAAGCAUCCUCUUAUGAAUAUAGGAACCUGAAGCAUAACAGAUAGGGACUAUUCAACCUAGAUACUGCAGAUUAAACAAUCUGAAGUGUGAAUGUUGGAUCAUUAAAGAGAAACAUAGUGCAUUAGUGAUUAUAUUCAUUGGUAGUUAUUAUUGAAAUUUGUUUUGUUGUCUGAUAGUGAUUGGGUAAUUACUUUAGAGUCAAUGAAUUCACAGUAAUUAGAUACUGAAUAUAAAAGUAACCACGGGAAAUGAAUAAAGACUAGCUGUCUGACUUUAAUUGGUAAUUAUUAAUUAUUAACAUUUCUGGAUAUUAGAUUUUCUCAAAGGCAAGCGAGGAAAUUUAUUCUACUCUGGUAAUUUGUCUACUUGCUGCCCUCAGCAUUGUACUUUGGAAUUGAAAUCCCAUGUUUUUAA